UCUUGCUGAAAUUUAUAUGACUAUCUUCUUUUCAAGGUUGCUGGAACCUUUGGAAAAACAAUUCUUGUGUUUGGGAGUGAUGACGAAGGUCCAAGCACAGAGGCACAUGGAUGACCCUGCAAUUAUUGAGGUCCUUGGGCAAAGAAGUAGUGAUAUUAACUUGACUUUGCAUCAGUUAUGUGGUAUUUCUUUCUAUUGUGUUUUGUUUUCUUGUUGUCACAUUACUAUUUUGCACAAUGAAUUUAAUGUUGUUGUUGAACAUAAACGUAUCUCAUAUCUUUUAUGUUUGGCGGCACUG